rnacentral:rRNA from 1 species
AACGAACGCUGGCGGCAGGCUUAACACAUGCAAGUCGAACGCAUCCUUCGGGGUGAGUGGCAGACGGGUGAGUAACGCGUGGGAACGUGCCCUUCAGUUCGGAAUAACCCAGGGAAACUUGGGCUAAUACCGGAUACGUGCGAGAGCAGAAAGAUUUAUCGCUGAAGGAUCGGCCCGCGUCUGAUUAGCUAGUUGGUGAGGUAAUGGCUCACCAAGGCGCCGAUCAGUAGCUGGUCUGGGAGGAUGAUCAGCCACAUUGGGACUGAGACACGGCCCAAACUCCUACGGGAGGCAGCAGUGGGGAAUAUCGGACAAUGGGCGCAAGCCUGAUCCAGCCAUGCCGCGUGAGUGAUGAAGGCCUUAGGGUUGUAAAGCUCUUUCAGUGGGGACGAUAAUGACGGUACCCGCAGAAGAAGCCCCGGCUAACUUCGUGCCAGCCGCCGCAGUAA